rnacentral:rRNA from 1 species
GAUGAACGCUGGCGGCGUGCCUAACACAUGCAAGUCGAGCGAUUCUCUUCGGAGAAGAGCGGCGGACGGGUGAGUAACGCGUGGGUAACCUGCCCUGUACACACGGAUAACAUUCCGAAAGGUAUGCUAAUACGGGAUAAUACAUUUUAGUCGCAUGGCUGAGAUAUCAAAGCUCCGGCGGUUACAGGAUGGACCCGCGUCGGAUUGGCGAGUUGGUGAGGUAAUGGCUCACCAAGGCGACGAUCAGUAGCCGACCUGAGAGGGUGAUCGGCCAGACUGGAACUGCGACAAGGUACAGACUCCUAGGGGGGGCAGCGGUGGGGAAUGUAGCACAAUGGGCGAAAGCCUGAUGCAGCGAGGCCGCGGGAGCGAUGAAGGCCUUCGGGUCGGACAGCGCUGUCCUCAAGGAAGAUAAUGGGGGGACGUGAGGAGGAAGCGCCGGCUAACUACGUGCCAGCAGCCGCAGUAAUAC